AGGGGGCGGGGCUACCAUGCAGUCGAGCGGAAACGAUGGGAGCUUGCUCCCAGGCGUCGAGCGGCGGACGGGUGAGUAAUGCAUAGGAAUCUGCCCGAUAGUGGGGGAUAACCUGGGGAAACCCAGGCUAAUACCGCAUACGUCCUACGGGAGAAAGCAGGGGCUCUUCGGACCUUGCGCUAUCGGAUGAGCCUAUGUCGGAUUAGCUGGUUGGUGAGGUAAUGGCUCACCAAGGCGACGAUCCGUAGCUGGUCUGAGAGGAUGAUCAGCCACAUCGGGACUGAGACACGGCCCGAACUCCUACGGGAGGCAGCAGUGGGGAAUAUUGGACAAUGGGCGAAAGCCUGAUCCAGCCAUGCCGCGUGUGUGAAGAAGGCCCUCGGGUUGUAAAGCACUUUCAGUGGGGAAGAAAGCCUUGGGGCUAAUACCCUCGAGGAAGGACAUCACCCACAGAAGAAGCACCGGCUAACUCCGUGCCAGCAGCCGCGGUAAUACGGAGGGUGCGAGCGUUAAUCGGAAUUACUGGGCGUAAAGCGCGCGUAGGUGGCUUGAUAAGCCGGUUGUGAAAGCCCCGGGCUCAACCUGGGAACGGCAUCCGGAACUGUCAGGCUAGAGUGCAGGAGAGGAAGGUAGAAUUCCCGGUGUAGCGGUGAAAUGCGUAGAGAUCGGGAGGAAUACCAGUGGCGAAGGCGGCCUUCUGGACUGACACUGACACUGAGGUGCGAAAGCGUGGGUAGCAAACAGGAUUAGAUACCCUGGUAGUCCACGCCGUAAACGAUGUCGACUAGCCGUUGGGAGCCUCGAGUUCUUAGUGGCGCAGUUAACGCGAUAAGUCGACCGCCUGGGGAGUACGGCCGCAAGGUUAAAACUCAAAUGAAUUGACGGGGGCCCGCACAAGCGGUGGAGCAUGUGGUUUAAUUCGAUGCAACGCGAAGAACCUUACCUACCCUUGACAUCGUGCGAACUUGGUAGAGAUACCUUGGUGCCUUCGGGAACGCACAGACAGGUGCUGCAUGGCUGUCGUCAGCUCGUGUUGUGAAAUGUUGGGUUAAGUCCCGUAACGAGCGCAACCCUUGUCCCUAUUUGCCAGCGAUUCGGUCGGGAACUCUAGGGAGACUGCCGGUGACAAACCGGAGGAAGGUGGGGACGACGUCAAGUCAUCAUGGCCCUUACGGGUAGGGCUACACACGUGCUACAAUGGUCGGUACAAAGGGUUGCAAAGCGGCGACGUGGAGCUAAUCCCAGAAAGCUGAUCUCAGUCCGGAUCGGAGUCUGCAACUCGACUCCGUGAAGUCGGAAUCGCUAGUAAUCGUGAAUCAGAAUGUCACGGUGAAUACGUUCCCGGGCCUUGUACACACCGCCCGUCACACCAUGGGAGUGGACUGCACCAGAAGUGGUUAGCCUAACUUCGGAGGGCGGU
rnacentral:rRNA from 1 species